rnacentral:miRNA from 1 species
CUGGUAGUGUAGUUAGUGAUU